UACGGGGGGGGCAAGCGUUGUUCGGAGUUACUGGGCGUAAAGGGCGCGUAGGCGGCUCGCUAAGUCGGAUGUGAAAACUCUGGGCUCAACCCAGAGCCUGCAUUCGAAACUGACGAGCUGGAGUUCUGGAGGGGAAAGCGGAAUUCCUGGUGUAGCGGUGAAAUGCGUAGAUAUCAGGAGGAACACCGGUGGCGAAGGCGGCUUUCUGGACAGAAACUGACGCUGAUGCGCGAAAGCUAGGGGAGCAAACAGG
rnacentral:rRNA from 1 species